AAUUAGAUCUGAAACGAAACAGAAAAUUAAAAGAUUAGAUUUUUGAAUUUUCAGAUCUGAAAUAAAAUCCCCAAAUCAGCAAAGAAUCAAAUUGAGAAUAGAAAUAAGUGUUAGGGUUCUUGAAACCCUCAAGGAGAUUGUGAUUCUGCCCAAUUGAACACCAAGAUAGUUUUCCCCAAAUUUCGACAAUCUAAUUUCACCCAAAAAUAGUAUGGAAAAACCCUAGAAAUUGGGGAUUUUUGGGCUGAUUCCUUAAGAUAGAAAAAGGCUGAAAACACAAUAAGAACAGAAAAUAGAUUAGAUAAUGAUUCAGCACAAGUAGAAAUAAA
rnacentral:lncRNA from 1 species